CCGGCGCUCUGCGAUCCAAGGCACACUGGGGUCUUUCAUCCGGUGUUUUUAAAAAGGAGGAAACAAAAGGCUCAGAGGCAGGGCCCCAGAAAACCACGACUUCCUGGAAAAGUCUUCACCGUAAAUAUUAAUCUCUUUGGCAUGAAGAGGAAAACACUGCAGCUAAUUUUUCAUGGGAUAACAAAAAUAUAAACUGCAAUUUCUUUUAUUUUUUCCCUUUCGAUGGUCUUUUUAAACGAGGAGUAAAGAUUUCAACGCCAGGUCCAUUUUCCAAAUUUUGUACCAGAACCUUGAGGAUGCUUGUCUCUCGCGCGCUUCUCCGCAGACCGAACCCUCUCCGGAACUCAGAGCUGUUCACCCAAGUCAGCGGAGGAGGCCUCCUGGGACUUGAGCCUGAGGGUGGCGAAGAACCCUAGGCAGAGAUCAUCAACUUGGUACCGAUGAGUGACGCGGAGCUUGAACAUUCCAGCGACUUGCUCCAGGGCCACUCCCAGUUAAGAGGCUGAGUGUUAACUGCAAGAGGCUGAGUGUUAACUACGCCGUUGGCUCCAGGAACCGAACCGGGUUUGGAUACAGACCCAGUCACACCAUCCAUGAAAAGCUGUUUCUAUAAUAUGAAAAAUUGUUAAAUGACGCUUUAGUAAAAGCCAUUUAAAGAUCUUUUCUAAUAAAUUUUUCAUCUUUCCAAACAAUGCCGCUAAUUACCUUCUGAUACAGUGC
rnacentral:lncRNA from 1 species